rnacentral:rRNA from 1 species
GACGAACGCUGGCGGCGUGCUUAACACAUGCAAGUCGAACGGUGAAGCAGAGCUUGCUCUGUGGAUCAGUGGCGAACGGGUGAGUAACACGUGAGCAACCUGCCCCUGACUCUGGGAUAAGCGCUGGAAACGGCGUCUAAUACUGGAUAUGAGCUGCGACCGCAUGGUCAGCAGUUGGAAAGAUUUUUCGGUCUGGGAUGGGCUCACGGCCUAUCAGCUUGUUGGUGAGGUAAUGGCUCACCAAGGCGUCGACGGGUAGCCGGCCUGAGAGGGUGACCGGCCACACUGGGACUGAGACACGGCCCAGACUCCUACGGGAGGCAGCAGUGGGGAAUAUUGCACAAUGGGCGAAAGCCUGAUGCAGCAACGCCGCGUGAGGGAUGACGGCCUUCGGGUUGUAAACCUCUUUUAGCAGGGAAGAAGCGAAAGUGACGGUACCUGCAGAAAAAGCGCCGGCUAACUACGUG